rnacentral:rRNA from 1 species
AUACGGAGGGUGCAAGCGUUGUUCGGAAUUACUGGGCGUAAAGCGCGCGUAGGUGGUCCGUUAUGUCAGAUGUGAAAGUCCACGGCUCAACCGUGGAAGUGCAUUUGAAACUGGCAGACUUGAGUACUGGAGGGGGUAGUGGAAUUCCCGGUGUAGAGGUGAAAUUCGUAGAUAUCGGGAGGAAUACCGGUGGCGAAGGCGACUACCUGGCCAGAUACUGACACUGAGGUGCGAAAGCGUGGGGAGCAAACAGGAUUAGAAACCCCAGUAGUCC